CAGAUAAUUUAGCGCCCGCCUUCCUGGCUCAGGAACGCCGAGGGAAGAGGGGUCCAAUCCUCCGAGGGGCAAGCAGGGAAGAGGAAGGGUGACAGGUAAACGGACUCCUCACCCACUCCUCAACAACUCCCUGACGAGAAAGCGACAAGGGCACCCUGCGACAGCAAUACUCACUGCCGGACAACGGUCAGCGCGAAGCGUGUCAUUUUCCUGGCUCCCGAAAGGAGAAGUGGUAGCCCCAGUCCGGCUCGCGCGACCAGCACCCUCCGGCGCGAGGCUUCGCCGCACUGCGGGACACCUCGCCCACACCACUUCCGCCAAGCUCAGCCGGCCGGCCGGCUCCGCCGCCAUAGGCCGAGGCGGCCAUCUACGUCAUUCCCGGAAGGCCAGUCAGGGAGGCGAGAGGCCGACAGGGCGACGGAGACUGCUUUCAGGUCUUGAGAGAGUUACUUAACCUCGCUCUCAAUUACGUGAUAAGUUAAAUGGGAUAACAGAUGAAGAAAUUAAGGGAUAUAGAGGCUAACUAAUUUCCCAUCCAUCAAGAUCUCAAAACUGAGUUUGACCCCCAUAAUCUCUAUGUCCAACAUGGGGUGCAAACUCAUGACCCUGAGAUCAAGAGUCACACGCUCUUCCAACUUAACAAGCCAGGUGCUCCUGAAUGAUUGCUUAUAGAAUAUCUAAGGCAUCAAGACCUUCCAGAAAGUAUUAACCAAGAUGCCCAGAGGCUCAUUGAACUGAGCCAUGAAUGGAAAGCUGCAGAAGCCCCAAGUUCUCCCACUACUUCAACACCUCCCCUGCUGGGUGACCCUGACCUAAAAGCAUCAAGGACCCUUGCAGGGCCCUCUCCCAGCUCCUGCAUCCCAGAUCUAAAAAUCUUACCGGUGCAUCUUCUCACAGGGUCACUGAGGUACCACGAAAAUGAAAAGAAACUACAAAAACAAACAGAAAAAGCUGAUUUGGAACCCUGUCCACCUGGCCCACCUGCAGACCUCAGUGUCAACUGAGCACAGGGGUCUCAAAGGAUUUUCAAAAUCUGGCCCAGCCCCUGGUUAUUUGAUAACUAAAAACCCAUAAAGAGAGAAAGGCAAUUAUGAAGGCUCA